CAGUAUUAUUUGCAGCUUCAGGCAUCUACCUGAUGUCUUAGAACAUAUCCCCUAGAGAUAAGGGGUUAAGUACUGUAUAUUGACUUUUGCAUUGACUAUGUACAUAUACACACUUGACAAAACUUGUCAAAUUGGUCACUUAAGAUCUGCAUGUUUGCUCUAUGUAAAUUGAACCUCAACUUUUGUUUAAAAAAAGUAAAUUCGUGGUAGAUCUCUCGUAAAGACAAACAGAGAGGGAGGAAGGCAAACCACAAGACACUCUUAAAUACAGAAAACAAACUGAGGGUAGACAGGGGAUGGGAGAGAAGGAAAAUGGGUGAUGGGCACUGAGGAGGGCAGCUGUUGGAAUGAGCAAUGGGUACUGUAUAUAAGCCAAUUUGACAAUAAAUUACAUUAAAAAAUCUCUUGUAAAGAAAACAAUCUGUUUGUAAGCAACUUCCACCUUUUUUUGGUUAUGUUAAUAAUUAAUUUUAAAAUUUAAUGUUUUCUUAAAGUAAAGGAUACCAAGCAGACAAGUCUGGUUGAGCCCUAAUGGACACAGAUUUUCAAUCUAUCCGUCUACACUCUAAAGUUCAAGCUCAGAAUAGAUUUUACUCAUUCAUCUACAAACGCAUUCAUACAUUUAUUUUGACAAAUGAGAAAUAACCUAUGAGUGGAGACUGCCAUUUUCCAGCAAAUUGAAAAUAACAUGUGUUAAAGACUAGCAUUGGCUUUAAGCUAUGAUUUCUAACCACUCCUUCAGGAUAUUAAACUUAUUUGCCAACUCUUUCCAGGCAUGGAAAGUUUGAAAAGAACCCUAGGAUUCUGUGUUUAUGGAAGUGCCAGAUUGUGACAAGUACACAGCUCCCAAGUACUACGCAACAUACACCUCAAUCAUCCAGAGGGGCAAAGCGAGCUUCCUGUGUGGACCCCAGCACCCCCCUGCAGAGGAGAUGGUGAGCAAUAACAUUUGGGACGAUAUUGGGAACGAAUGAAGAGAAUCAUUUAAGAGCAUCACACACCUGAGGGACUUAAGCAGUAAGUAUCUGCAGAGAAGACAGCCAGGGUCUGAUGGUCCUACAUUUAAUUUUGCUUUUCUCACUCUAUGUAAGUAACUUAGAGCCCCUGCACUGGAAAUAAACAAACCCACUUUCAAUAUUUGGCUCA
rnacentral:lncRNA from 1 species